CCUACGGGAGACAGCAGUAGGGAAUUUUCGGCAAUGGGGGGAACCCUGACCGAGCAACGCCGCGUGAACGAAGAAGUUAUUCGUAAUGUAAAGUUCUUUUAACAGGGAAGAAAGAGAAAUUUGACGGUACCUGAAGAAUAAGCUCCGGCUAACUACGUGCCAGCAGCCGCGGUAAUACGAAGGGAGCGAGCGUUAUCCGGAAUGAUUGGGCGAAAAGGGUGCGUAGAUGGAAUAGUAAGUCUUUUGUAAAAAUGCUGGGCUCAACCCAGUAGGGCAAAAGAUACUGCAAAGCUAGAGUAUGACAGAGGCAAGUGGAACUACAUGUGUAGCGGUAAAAUGCGUAAAUAUAUGUAAGAACACCAGUGGCGAAGGCGGCUUGCUGGGUCGAUACUGACAUUGAGGCACGAAAGCGUGGGGAGCAAACAGGAUUAGAUACCCGGGUAGUC
rnacentral:rRNA from 1 species